UACGUAGGGUCCGAGCGUUGUCCGGAAUUAUUGGGCGUAAAGAGCUCGUAGGCGGCGUGUCGCGUCGGAUGUGAAAGCCCGGGGCUUAACUCCGGAUCUGCGGUGGGUACGGGCAGACUUGAGUACUGCAGGGGAGACUGGAAUUCCUGGUGUAGCGGUGGAAUGCGCAGAUAUCAGGAGGAACACCGGUGGCGAAGGCGGGUCUCUGGGCAGUAACUGACGCUGGAGGAGCGAAAGCGUGGGGAGCGAACAGG
rnacentral:rRNA from 1 species